rnacentral:tRNA from 1 species
GGAGAGGUGGCUGAGUGGUUGAAAGCGCGUCCCUGCUAAGGAUGUGUACUCGCAAGGGUACCGAGAGUUCGAAUCUCUCUCUCUCCG